GUACUCCCCAGGCUAAAACUCAAAGGAAUUGACGGGGGACCCCGCACAAGCGGUGGAUGAUGUGGAUUAAUUCGAUAGCAACGGCGAAAAACCUUACCUACCCUUGACAUGUCAGGAAUCCCGGAGAGAUUUGGGAGUGCUCGAAAGAGAGCCUGAACACAGGUGCUGCAUGGCUGUCGUCAGCUCGUGUCGUGAGAUGUUGGGUUAAGUCCCGCAACGAGCGCAACCCUUGUCAUUAAUUGCCAUCAUUCAGUUGGGCACUUUUAAUGAGACUGCCGGUGACAAACCGGAGGAAGGUGGGGAUGACGUCAAGUCCUCAUGGCCCUUAGUGGGUAGGGCUUCACACGUCAUACAAUGGUCGGUUCAGAGGGUUGCCAACCCGCGAGGGGGAGCCAAUCUCAGAAAGCCGAUCGUAGUCCGGAUCGCAGUCUGCAACUCGACUGCGUGAAGUCGGAAUCGACUAGUAAUCGCGGAUCAGCAUGUCGCGGUGAA
rnacentral:rRNA from 1 species